rnacentral:ncRNA from 1 species
AAUAACAGGUCUGUGAUGCCCUUACAGUUCGGGGCCGCACGCGCGCUACACUGACCGGAUCAGCGUGUGCUCUCCUUGGCCGACAGGUCCGGGAAACCCGUUGAACCCCGGUCGUGCUAGGGAUAGGGAAUUGCAAUUAUUUCCCUUGAACGAGGAAUUCCCAGUAAGCGCGAGUCAUUAGCUCGCGUUGAUUACGUCCCUGCCCUUUGUACACACCGCCCGUCGCUACUACCGAUUGAAUGGUUUAGUGAGGUCCUCCGAUUGGACCCGGUCCGGGCGGCGACGUCCGAGCCGGCGUCCGAGAAGACGAUCUAACUUGAUCAUUUAGAGGAAGUAAAAGUCGUAACAAGGUUUCCGUAGGUGAACCUGCGGAAGGAUCAUUA